rnacentral:rRNA from 1 species
CCUACGGGAGGCAGCAGUGAGGAAUAUUGGUCAAUGGACGAGAGUCUGAACCAGCCAAGUAGCGUGAAGGAUGACUGCCCUAUGGGUUGUAAACUUCUUUUAUAAAGGAAUAAAACGAGGCACGUGUGCCUUUUUGCAUGUACUUUAUGAAUAAGGAUCGGCUACCUCCGUGCCAGCAGCCGCGGUAAUACGGAGGGUCCGAGCGUUAUCCGGAUUUAUUGGGUGUAAAGGGAGCGUAGAUGGGUUGUUGAGUCAGUUGUGAAAGUUUGCGGCUCAACCGUAAAAUUGCAAUUGAUACUGGCAGUCUUGAGUGCAGUUGAGGUAGGCGGAAUUCGUGGUGUAGCGGUGAAAUGCUUAGAUAUCACGAAGAACCCCGAUUGCGAAGGCAGCUUACUAAACUGUGACUGACAUUGAGGCGCGAAAGUGUGGGGAGCAAACAGGAUUAGAUACCCCGGUAGUC